rnacentral:rRNA from 1 species
UAAUAGCGUAUAUUAAAGUUGUUGCAGUUAAAAAGCUCGUAGUCGGAUGUCGGGCUCGGGCAGGCUGUCGGCUUCGGUCGGACGGCAGGCUCGGGUCUUUCUGCCUGAGGAUCCAUCUCAUUCACUUGGGGUGGGGACGCAGGCCGUUUACUUUGAAAAAAUUAGAGUGUUCAAAGCAGGCCUACGCUUGAAUACAUUAGCAUGGAAUAAUGGAAUAGGACUUUGGUGCUAUUUUGUUGGUUUAUGGGACCGAAGUAAUGAUUAACAGGGACAGUUGGGGCCGUUUAUAUUUCGUUGUCAGAGGUGAAAUUCUUGGAUUUACGACAGAUAAACUUCUGCGAAAGCAUUCGGCAAGGAUGUUUUCAUUGA